UGCAUAGCUCAGUGGGUAGAGCGUGAGACUCUUAACCUCAAGGACAUGGGUUUGAGCCCCACAUUGGACAA
rnacentral:tRNA from 1 species